rnacentral:rRNA from 1 species
CUUGUAAGAGGUCCCGCCUGCCCAGUGACGUUCAACGGCCGCGGUAUUUUGACCGUGCGAAGGUAGCGUAAUCACUUGUCUUUUAAAUGAAGACCUGUAUGAAUGGCAUAACGAGGGCUUAACUGUCUCCUCUUUCCAGUCAAUGAAAUUGAUCUCUCCGUGCAGAAGCGGAGAUAAAAACAUAAGACGAGAAGACCCUAUGGAGCUUUUCGGUUGGGGCGACCAUGGGGCCCCAAGCAAGAGCUCUAGCUAACAGAUUUUGACCUGAUCCGGGAUCAACGGACCAAGUUACCCUAGGGAUAACAGCGCAAUCCCCUUUUAGAGCCCAUAUCGACAAGGGGGUUUACGACCUCGAUGUUGGAUCAGGACAUCCUAAUGGUGCAGCCGCGCUUAGCCUUAAACAUUGAUUAUAACAUCCGCCCGGGAAUUACGAACAUUAGUUUAAAACCCAAAGGACUUGGCGGUGCUUAACAUCCACCUAGAGGAGCCUGUUCUAGAACCGAUAACCCCCGUUCAACCUCACCCUCCCUAGUCCGCCUAUAUACCGCCGUCGUCAGCUUACCCUGUGAAGGACUAAUAGUAAGCGCAAUUGG